GCUGGGCGUGGUGGCGUGCGCCUGUAACCGAGCUACUACGGAGCGGGUAGUGUCGAAUGACUUGAGGUCGGGACUCCUGUCGUACGUCGAUCUAUGUCGAUCGGGUGUCCACACUAAGUUGGGCGCCAAUAUGGUGAACUUAGGGGAACCUUCGUUCACCAGGUUGAAUAAAGAGGAACGUACCGGUCCAGGAUGGAAACAUAGCAGACAAAAGUUCCCGCGUCAAACAGUAGUGGGAUAGCACUUGUGAAUAGGAGGCGUGCGACAGCCCGGUCAAGAUAGUUGAACCCGCUACCCUU